rnacentral:lncRNA from 1 species
GACCAGAAGAUGGUGAUCAUUUCCCCAGCAGAUCCCCUUGCCUCAGCUUGGCAUUCUACCCAGCAUUUCGCAUCCCUACAUGUAGAAUCAUAUUGCAUUGCAUCCUUCCAAAUCGCGUAGCAUUUCCAUUCCCUUGCCUCAGCUUGGCAUUCUACCCAGCAUUUCGCAUCCCUACAUGUAGAAUCAUAUUGCAUUGCAUCCUUCCAAAUCGCGUAGCAUUUCCAUUUUCAUGGAGCAUUACGCCAUUGAAAAAUUCAUACAUACGCAUGUAAGCAUAAAACAUUCUCGGUAUCCCAAGUGAUAAGCUAGAAGUUGUUUCCAAUACUCAGACUGAAGAUUGUUCAUGACUUACCUUUGUUAUCCC